rnacentral:lncRNA from 1 species
GGAAGAAGGAGCUGGCCACCCAUUUCCAUGAAUCUCCAUGGAACCUUGUCUGAUACAGAGCUGAAGGCAUUCAGAACCUACUGAAGUGUAAAUCACUGCUUCAGAGAAGGCUGGCCACACCAGAGAACACAUUCGCAUGUUUGAACUUCUGAAGUUUCCUCUGAGGAAAGAAUUACCUCAAUAGUACCUGGCUUGAAUAUUUAUUAGGCACCAGGUACAUAACGUCCACUAAGUGUCUUCUACUGCUGUGCCUCCCGAUUCUCUGCUCAGGACCGAGUCACUCAUUAUUCUUAGUUUCUUGCAAGUCUUUGAAUUUGACCACACAAAGAUGAGUAUUUCUCUAGCAAGUUCCCCAGGUCCAAGAGAACCACUUAGCCCAAGAUCACAUCCCCUUCAUGAAGGAAGCACACACUUGUUGACUCUUCACAGCACCCCGGUAUACAGUUGCAUAUUCUUCGUUGUGGGUCCUUCUAGUUGUGGUAUGUGGGACGCUGCCUCAGCAUGGUUUGAUGAGCGGUGCCAUGUUCGCGUCUGGGAUUUGAACCAACGAAACACUGGGCCGCCUGCAGUGGAGCACGUGAACUUAACCACUCGGCAACGGGGCCAGCCCAAGAUAAAAUCUGCUUUUAAUAUUCAUUUCAAUGGUUUCUUUUUACUUUUUUUUUUUGAGGAAGAUUGGCCUUGAGCUAACGUCUGUUGUCAAUCUUCCUCUUUUUACUUGAGGAAGAUUGUUGCUGAGCUAACAUCUGUGCCAAUCUUCUUCUAUUUUAUGCAGGAUGCCACCACAGCAUGGUUUGACGAUCAGAGCUAGGUCCUGGCCUGGAUCUGAACCUGCAAACUCCUGACCGCUGAAGCUGAGUGUGGGAAGGCAAUCACCACACCAACAGAGACUGCUUUUUCUCUAAGAUUGAGGAAAGAAAGAAAGAUGGAGUUGCAAAAGAAAAUAUUUCCAUUUCCAACACAUGUGUAUAUGGAACAGCAUGUAGUCAUUUUUUCCCCAGUUACAGGAAGGUCCCACUCUGCCUAAAGCAUUCUGUGAGGCAUUAGCCCAGCUCACCACGUGCACGGCAAACACAUGCAAGGAAAGCCAUUUUUACUGAGCAGAUCUGGUCCUGAGAAAGACAAACCCUUUUGGUUCUGUUUCAAGGCAGUUUAACCACCACGACGUAACAGCUGGAACUCCACUUUAGCCAUCUCUCACACAAGUCUUUCUGAUCGGUUAUGGAUUUUUCUCGUCAACAGCACAAACGCAGAAGGCUGACGACUGCUGGUUUCUGGCUGUCUGCUCACAAAGGCAGUUUGAUGGUGCGCUGAGCACUGGUAGAUUCCUUGUAUAUCUCCACAGUUCCUAGGGUUCAGUCCACUCCAACUGCAGGAGGAGUAUCCAGACAGAGGAACAGGCUGAGUGGAAACCCGAUGCUCCACGUGGAGCCCAUGCCCAGCCCAGUGACCUCCUUGUUAAAGAUGGCUGAGGGCACAUCUAGCAGUAAAAGCUGCCAAGCACACACAUCGUAUCAGGAGAUACAUUCAGCCUGCUCUGUGCCCCCACUGCAAAAAAUUAAACUGAAUAAUCGAACAAACCACACCUUAAAUAAGAAAGAGAUUCUUUUCUAAGAUUGACAAAUUAUACUGAAAAUGUAUCAACUUUUCUCAACAAAAACUUUUUGGAAGGAUCAUUUCAAAUAUUUAAUGCUUUCUCUUUUUCCUUCAAAAUGGAAAACCCAAAUGUGAUGACUCUCCACUUACAAUGAGUUCAUUGUGCAUUUAUACAGGACACCAACCCUCAUGGCAGCCAGUGAUGUGCAUCUCUUUCCACAUUCCUGUGAAGUGACUUCUUUUUUUCUUUUUAAAGAUUGGCACCUGAGCUAACAACUGUUGCCAAUCUUCUUCUUUUUUUUCUUUCUUUCUGCCUUUUCUCCCCAAAUCCCCCCAGUACAUAGUUGUAUAUUUUAGUUGUGGGUUCUUCUAGUUGUGGCACGUGGGACGCCACCUCAGCGUGGCCUGAUGAGCGGUGCCAUGUCCGCACCCAGGAUCCGACCCGGCGAAACCCUGGGCUGCUGCAUCAGAGCGCGGGAACUCAACCACUCGGCCACGGGGCUGGCCCCAAGUGACUUCUCAUUGGUAGCUUGAGAGCAACAAACCAAACAAAUCAGGAUUUUCCCUCCAUCUGAGAGUUAGUUAUUAAAUAUUGACCAGCACACUUCUGAUUUUCAAUUUCCUUCCGUCUGAUCGUUCUGGGAUACGGCAAAGCUGAGCAUCAGAACUUGCAUCCUAGUAGAAGCACCAGGCAAAGAUACAGCAGAGCCACCUGGGUGCUGGUUGUUCAUCCUUUCCCUAGGCAAGAUUCUGACUUCUUAAAAUCCUUAUUUUUAAACUGCAACAAGAAUAUAUACAUUUUAAGUGGCAUUUUAUAAAGGAAAGGGACAAAAUUGUAAGAUAGCUAUUAUCUAAAUGACUAAAUAUGAUAAUGUCAACUUUUAUGGGCUUUACCAGUGAGGGAGCUUGUACGCUAUGAGACAGAGGCCUUGAGUGAAGAUUAGAGACCCUCUGCUCACUAAUGUGAUGUAAGGGAG